rnacentral:rRNA from 1 species
GACGAACCGUGCAAACGUUGUUCGGAAUCACUGGGCGUAAAGGGCGCGUAGGCGGCUUUAUAAGUCGGGGGUGAAAGCCUGUGGCUCAACCACAGAAUUGCCUUCGAUACUGUAGAGCUUGAGACCGGAAGAGGUAAGUGGAACUGCGAGUGUAGAGGUGAAAUUCGUAGAUAUUCGCAAGAACACCAGUGGCGAAGGCGGACUUACUGGUCCGGUUCUGACGCUGAGGCGCGAAAGCGUGGGGAGCAAACAGG